rnacentral:lncRNA from 1 species
UUUUGCAUCAUAAAUGAUGAUAAAUUUUUCAUUUUACUGAGAUUUUGAAUUUUUUAUUGGUCAAUGUUGAAUAAAAAUAGAAAACUAUAGUUAGUAGAGCGUGAUGAAUGUUAAGCUUAUUAUACAAUGAAUCUUUUUGUCAACAGAUAGUACUCUUAGAGUGGAAGAUGACAUUAAGUGGCAGGGGAAACAAGCCCUUCACAGACUACCCACCCCUGCGGCGGGGUCUACUGGAUUCUGGAGGACGGAUUCAAUGUUCCAGGACCCAUGAUAAAUACUCUCAAGGGGUGGAACCCAAAACUAGAACCCGGGUCCUCUAAAGUAGAAAAACAAAGUCUUUCCACAUGGUCAAUUCAGCCAUUUCUAAUUCAAUUGUGCCAAUUUUCAACUAUAGUUGGCAAACUUAUGCCCAAAGCCUCAUUGGUCCAAAAUUGAGCAAUUAAAACCCG